rnacentral:rRNA from 4 species
GGGUUGUGAGGUUAAGCGACUAAGCGUACACGGUGGAUGCCCUGGCAGUCAGAGGCGAUGAAGGGCGUGCUAAUCUGCGAUAAGCGCCGGUAAGGUGAUAUGAACCGUUAUAACCGGCGAUACCCGAAUGGGGAAACC